GCAGCUGCGCUUGUCUGUGAUAACCUUGUGCGAAUCGCUCGUCCCCGUGCCCUAUCAACUUUCGAUGCAAUUUUCUGCACCUACCAUGGUGACCACAGGUAAUGGGGAAUCAGGGUUCGAUUCCAGAGAGAGAGCCUGAGAAACGGCUACCACAUGCUAGGAAGGCAGCAGGCGAGCAAAUUACCCACUCCCGACGUGGGGAGGUAGUGAC